AUUGAACGCUGGCGGCGUGCUUAAUACAUGCAAGUCGAGGGGUAGCAGGUCUGUAGCAAUACAGAUGCUGACGACCGGCAAACGGGUGCGGAACACGUACAGAACCUUCCUUCGAGUGGGAGAUAGCCCAGGGAAACUUGGAGUAAUAUCCCAUAGGAUCAUAGCGUGGCAUCACUUAGUGAUUAAAGAUUUAUCGCUUGAAGAUGGCUGUGCGGCUGAUUAGGUAGUUGGUGUAGGUAACGGCUCACCAAGCCUUCGAUCAGUAACUGGUGUGAGAGCACGACCAGUCACACGGGCACUGAGACACGGGCCCGACUCCUACGGGAGGCAGCAGUAAGGAAUAUUGGGCAAUGGAGGCAACUCUGACCCAGCCAUGCCGCGUGGAGGAUGAAGGUCCUCUGGAUUGUAAACUUCUUUUAUUUGGGAAGAAAUGCCGAUUUUCUAAUUGGUUUGACGGUACCAGAUGAAUAAGCACCGGCUAACUCCGUGCCAGCCGCCGCGGUAAAAC
rnacentral:rRNA from 1 species